UGUUCUGUGGCUAAAGCGCCGGUCUAGCGAAUACGGAGUCGUGGGUUCGAAUCCCACCAGAACGC
rnacentral:tRNA from 1 species